AAUAAAGUGCCUGAGAUAUAGGGCCAUUUUGAUAGAAUGGAAAACGCGGUCACCCGCCUUUAUUA
rnacentral:tRNA from 1 species